UGCAUUCACUACUGUAAGUUGCUCUGGAUAAGAGCGUCUGCUAAAAAUUACUAAAA
rfam:Salmo salar isolate Sally breed double haploid chromosome ssa12, whole genome shotgun sequence.